UACAGAGGUGCCAAGCGUUAGGCGGAAUCACUGGGCUUAAAGCGCGUGUAGGUGGACGGGUAAGUAUCUUGUGAAAUCCCACGGCUCAACCGUGGAACUGCUGGAUAUACUGCUUGUCUUGAGGCACUUAGGGGCAGCUGGAACAAAUGGUGGAGCGGUGAAAUGCGUAGAUAUCAUUGGAACGCCAAAGGCGAAAGCAGGCUGCUGGGAGUGAUCUGACACUGAGACGCGAAAGCCAGGGGAGCAAACGGG
rnacentral:rRNA from 1 species